rnacentral:tRNA from 1 species
GGCUUCAUAGCUCAGUUGGUUAGAGCGCCGCACCAAUAUCGCGAGGUCACAGAUUCAAACCCUUUUGAAGUCC